rnacentral:rRNA from 1 species
ACGCUCGACACCUACGGGAGACAGCAGUGGGGAAUAUUGCACAAUGGGGGAAACCCGUGAUGCAGCGAUGCCGCGUGAAGGAAGAAGUAUCUCGGUAUGUAAACUUCUAUCAGCAGGGAAGAAAAUGACGGUACCUGACUAAGAAGCCCCGGCUAACUACGUGCCACAGCCGCGGUAAUCUGAGCGGGCUGGCAAGGC